rnacentral:snRNA from 1 species
GUGCUCACUUUGGACGCACAUAUGUUGCAUUGAAGCAUACAGAGAAGGUUCUCUGGCUCCUGUGUAAGAAUAAUAUGUAAAUCCUUGAAGCUUUCCAUAUUUUU